GGGGGCAAAACCAUCAGUACUGAGGGCAGAGGUGGGAGGUCUUGUGGCUGGAAUAUGGAUGGGACAAGAUGGCAGAGGUCACAGAAGUUCCCUCAUCUCUCCCCAGAAAUCAGUGAGGAUGGUGGGGGUCGAUGGGGGUGUUUCAGGGACCCUCAACAAUUGUUGGGAGGCAGGGCUCAAGGUGAGAGGAGGCCAAGGUGGAGAUACCACUUGGCUUUCCUUUGCCCCUGCCCUGACUGCAGUGACCCUCAGGGAGGCUAAACAGGAAUCUGCUGAUGAGGAACUUGUCUCUAAGUGGCUUCUCCUGACCUCAGCAGGAUCAUUUUAUUUCACUAAGCAUGUUCAUGACCCACAGUCUCAUUCCAGGUGGCAGGAAGAACUCUUCCCACUUGGCAGGGGAGCCCAGCCAAAGCCCCUCUGGGUGGACAGCCAGAGGUGAACGCCUGGGUAUUGAUGUGAGGGCUCUGCCAAUGACAGAAGACGUCAAGGGCCGAUCAAGGCAACACUCACAGCUGUGCCUCUUAGACCCAGCACAGUCUGUGUACAUCUGCAGGGGCCUGCCCUCCAGCUGCAAGUCUGGUGGUGGUGGAGGGGGGUAACUGUCUGGGCACGAGGAGCCCAGAGAUGUGUUUUCGGUCAGAUAGCAUUCUGUGACGUCCCAGACCAGCACACUCACCAAGAGAAGUUUUGUUGACGCAGGAGAAAGAGACAGACUCAUGUUGCAAUCAACAGAGAGAAAACAUAUUUUAAAAAAUUUACUGCAGGAAACAGGAGGAACAUUUAAACGUCAUCUUCUUUCCCCUUUUAUAGACUCUGCACAGUAAGAUAGGAACCAGGAGAUGCUAAGACAGAGAUGAAAAAGGAAAUGCCCGCUUAAGAGGAAAUGGUUAGAGAAAAAUAAACGUAACAGAAUUUAAAAUGGGAUUAGAAAAGGCAAAAAGACAAAAAAAAAAAAAAAAAAAAAAAAAAAAAAAAGAGAGAGAGCGAGAGAGCGAGAGAGAGCGACAUGCUGCUCUGUUGAAUACACAACACCUGCCCUCCAGUUCCCAAAUAUUUUCGUGUUGCCCGCAAAUUUCCUUUGGGAGCGGCCUGGCAUGGCAGCAUCUUGGGACUGUGGGCAGACCAAGCGGAAACUUUACUAAAUACUCUCCCAUCCCCAAACCAAGUAUAAAAGAAUCUCAGAUCUAAAAAUUGCAAACCCUCCCAAGAGGUUAUUUAUUGGAUUUGUGUAUUAAUAACACGAUCUAAACAAUUUUCAAAUUCUUGGCGGCUGUCUGGUCCCAGGGAGUGGGAACUUUUUCACCCUCCUCCGCGCCCCCCCAUUGCCAGCCACAGAUGCAGCUCCUCAGAUCUUGUUCCCACCUGAGGUCUCCCUUCUGUCAACGCCAAAUAACGUGGGACUUAGAAAAACAAAAUGCUAGGACUCAGGCUGGCAGAAGGGGUCCAGGAGGGCGCAGGAUGUGGGGGGAGUGCUGUCCAUUUAUAGGAGGCUCAAGACCGAUGUCUCCCCCCCUCCCCCGACCUGAGUCUGUUCUGUCUGCAUUUGCACUGCAGACGUGAGGCUAGGGGGUGGACUGUACAGAGUACACAGUGGACCACGGGCAUCCAGAAUGAUAUCCAUCUCUCGGCUUCCGGGCUGGUGCUACCUCCAGAGGGAGAAAAUGAAGGCUCGGAGGGAGAAGGCAAUAGAACCCCACACAGCAGCCCCCAUUUCCUCCCCCUCCUUUUUAAGUGCUGGAGGUGUAUGGAGCAGCCUGGUGCUAAGAAAGGUGGUCCCUUCCACAGGGUGAUGCCCCUCAGAGGGGUCAGACCCUAGAGCAGCCAGUUUUGUUCCCAGAACUCUGUAUUUGAGCAUUUUCAGCCCAGGGAUUUUGGAACUGCUUGGCUCAUCAUGGUAUACCAAAGAAUUGGAAAUUGUAUUUUUCCCAUGAAUUUUGUAGCUAAGGAAAUAGAUAUCUCUGCAACACAGUGCCCAGGUUCUCAGAUCCCCAAGAGGAAUGACAAAGAGGGCGCCCACUCUAGUCUUUCACCUGGUGGUGGCACAAACCCCACAGGCAGCAUUUUUACCUGAUUUCACAGGCGAGGAGGUCAAGCAGCUUAUCAAGGUUGUUGCUGUUGGUGAGAGGAUUUGAAUCUUGUCUCCGUGGCUCUCCACUCUGAGCCAGCUGUAAUUUUUUUUCUUUUUCUUUUUCUUUUUUUUUCUUUUUAGGGUCACACAUGUGGCAUAUAGAAAUUCCCGACUAGGGGUCCAAUUGGAGCUGCAGUUGCUGGCCUAUGCCACAGUCACAGCAGCUCAAGAUCCAACCAACAGCAAUGCUAGAUCCGAGCCGUGUCUGCGAUCUACACCACAGCUCACGGCCAUGCUGGAUCCUUAACCCACUGAGUGAGGCCAGGGAUGGAACCCUCAUCCUCAUGGAUACUAGUAGGGCUCGUUACCACUGAGCCACGACGGGAACUUCCCAGCUGUACUAUUUGAUGGAAUGUCUGACAGCACCGAGACCCCAGAAACCUGCAAAUGGUGGAGUUGUUAUCGAAUGCAAGUUCAUGUGCCUGGCACACAGUAAGGCCAAACAGACUGAAACAUAGGAGUUUGGAUCAGAAAAAGGUUUAUUUCAGGACCAUGUCAGGAGACAGGUAGCUCGUGGCCCCAAACUCCAAGAAGGCUCUUAGCAAAGCACUUUUAAAGGCAAGGUGAGGGAGGGUGUGGUGGCUGGUCCUUGCAAACUUCUCGGUGUGGGAAUCCUUUGUUCUUCCAGCUGUUCCCAUAGAUUAGGUCACGUGUUCCUGUAAACCUCAGACAAGACAAGUAUCAGUCUCUGUUCUGCAACUUUUUAAUCUCUAUAUGAAUGGACUCUGAAAGGUCAGAGCCCUGAGAAUAGGCUUACCUGUCUAUUUCAAGCUACAGGCAACAUUCUGUUACAAAAGGUGCAGAGCCAGCAUGACGCAGCAGAGGAAAAGGAAGCGCUCUACCAUGGAGUCAGAUCGUUCCUCCUUCUUACAGUUUCUACAAUAGGAAAAGUUCUGAGAAAAAGCGACUUGAGAAUAUCAGCGACAGGAAAAACCAGGAGAAAGAGGGCUUUUAUGCUGUUUCCCUUCUAAAGCCUGCAGACUCUGUUAUUUUGGGUUCUCUUAUUAUCUGGUUUUGAUUUACUAGACUUGAGUACGAAUAAAGAUGGUGUGGAUCCU
rnacentral:lncRNA from 1 species